rnacentral:lncRNA from 1 species
AUGCCCUUGCAUUCCCCUUGUCAGCAGAGAGCAGCCAGAGCUCUCUUUUACUGUAAUUGGGUUAGUCUUGUGGGUUCGCCCUCCUCCCAGCUGUCAAAAGAGAUUAUACAGAAAUGUACUGCUGCAUCGACCACAAUUCAGGUGCCGACUGGGGCCAAAGCAGGAGGAAAUUUCCAAAUGCAUUCAUUAAUCACCCCAAGGACCUGGUGGCUGCUUGACCAUACUGCUUUCGUCCAGCUGCAAUCACUGGAGCUCCAGCCAGAGCUCAGAGGUAAGAAAAAGGCUUUCCUCCUGUUUUUUGAACAAAGGUCCUGCAAAUUUCAUUCCACCCUGAGCCGGCCUUGCCCCCAGCCCAGCAGGAUCUUAGCCCAUUCUGGCUGCUACAACAAAACAGCACACACUGGGAGACCACAAUAGGAAUUUAUAUCUCACAGUUCUGGAGGCUGCGGGUCCAAGAUCAGGAUGCCGGCUCGGUCAGUGAGGGUCGCCCACUUCUCUUUGCAUCCUCUCCAGGUGAAGGAGGCACGGAGCCCUCAAGAGCCUUUCAUUUAAACCACUAAUCCGGCUCCUGAGGGCUCCACUCUCAAGAUUUAAGCACCUGUCCAUAGCCCCGCCUCCUAAUACCAUCACUUUGGUGAUUAGGAUUUCAACACACAGAUUUGAGGAGACACACACAUUCAGACCCUAACACGCAGUUUCUAAAUGCUAAUAGGUAGAAGCAGAACAUCUGAUUCCUCAGGACCCCACAGGUGCCCAUGAAAGUUGAGCUACUCUAACCCAUAGGUUUGCUGCAUCCGCACCUGAGAGGGUCUGUGGAUCCAGGUCUGUGAAGACCUCUCUCAGGCCACCCCAGUGAUCCUCACACUUCAGUGAGUGGAAAAUCCCCUAGAGAAUGUGUUAGAAAGGCAAGUUCUCAGCCCCCCAGCUCCAGGGACUCUGACUCAGCAGGUCUGGGGUGGGGCUGAGAGGCUGCCCUUCCAGCAGGCUCUAGGUGAUGCUGAGGCUGCAAGCCUGGGGUCCACACGUGGAGGGACACCUGUAACUGCUCUGCUUCACAGAGGAAGCAGCAGAGAGACUGGGUGCCUUGCCUGACGGCACACAGUACCCAGCUCUCCUUACUCGGUCCGCCUUCCCCAGGCCUCAAGGUAGCUCUGGCAGUAUUUGAGGAAGGAGGGCGGGAGGUUGGAUGGGGCUCUGAAAGUUUCCACUAAUGCUUGUUGAGCAAAUGAGUAUUUUAGCAACUGAAUAAACCGCUCCUCAUUUCUUGUUCCA